UGCGUUCGCUCCGCAAUGUCCUCGUGAACAUUUGACGCACGCCCGAUAUACAUAAACCCUGGUGGCCCGUCGCUGCUACUGCAGGGACUCUACCUUUCCCUAGACCCAUUGGUUUCCUCCAUGAGAAUAUGCGACGUGAUCGAAAGGUGCCACGGAAUUUCGUCUCUACCUUGUUGCUGCUCCGUUUCCGGUUUAUCCACGCCUUAACCUUCCGUUGGUCAGAGGGGGAUCACUGAUCAUCAUGUUAGCCUGGGUCUUGUCUAUAAUAAACACUGUCGUCGACUCUUAUCGGCUAUAGUCGCGUGUGAGCUAAAUUGAGCAUUGAUUACGAUCCAAGGCGGAAGACGUUUACGCCGUUUGUUUUUUUUUGGCCAAUUUCUGGGCCGCGCGGAGUACACGAGUAGUUGGAGCAACCAUCGCUAGAUGGACGCUUGAAGAGGUAAAAAUAGAAAUUAUUGAAAUGGACGAAUCAAAGGCCUCGACCGAUUACUAUGAAAUAUUCGUCAUUAAUUUUGAGAGUCGAUAUCAGCUGAAGAGCGAUCGGACGCAAACUGGAAAUACGUCGUACAUUGUUAAGCCAGUACCACACCUCCAGAGGAGCAGAGCACAAUUUCAUCCAUAACCCGACUACAGUGACGAGUAUUCCCUUACGUUGCCUACAGUCAGGACACCGACGAGUACUCAGGCAUGGCACCAGUAAGAAGUACAGAGGUCUGCGAAAAAAAAAAAGCCAAAGCGUCGCAGACCGCUUGUGCUUUCUACGAGUUCUCAGACCUCCAUUGUCCGCUUCCUGGUGCACCAGGUCAGCUAGUGGAGACAGAAGGAACUUCUCGUAGUCGAUGCGACAAGCACGACCCUGCCUCCUGGUGAGGAGCUCGAUCCAUAAAUAAUUAAGUUGCAGAUAGACGUCGCACGACGUACAACAUAGAAUGUACACAGCGAUCUCUAUUUUUUCGUAAAAAUUCGCAAUCGCAAGCAGGAUCGUCGCGACGCUUACAGAGACGUCAGGUAGCUAUCGACGCACCAUGCAGUAAAAUACCAAACGGCUAAAGCCACAACGCAUACGAUCCCGUCAACGAAGUCGACUUGAGCGACGCUUUGCAGUCCGCGAACUCUGUUACAAUUAUCGAGGGACGUUACCUGCGUUACGUAGGAGCGUCGCGAUGCUCGGCGUCCCACGUUUUGUUUCCGCGGAACAGAGGCGCACGUGGGAGCGCGAGCGAGCUCCGCGAUAGAAAUAUAAAAGUAAACGGCUCGACUGACUUGGCGUAUUCGCGCGCACCCGGCGGCGCGAGAGCUUCUCGCGUGGCGAAGGUCACUGCCUCGAGUGUCGAAAGAGAAUGAGAUAGAGAAAGACAGAAUAUACGUAUAUAUAAGAGAGAGAGAGAGAGCGCGAGAGAGAGAGAGAGAGAGAGAGAGAGAGAGAGAGAGAGAGAGAGAGAGAGAGAGAGAGAGAGAGAGAGAGAGAGAGAGAGAGAGAGAGGCAGGCCAACGUCAUAUAUAUAUAUGCACGCGCACACACUAAUCUAAGGCCGAGGCUGCCGCUUGCGCUUGCCAAACGGCCAAAUCCUGGCCCUGACACGAUUCCAUGGGGACCCACGCGUCAGGGGCCGGGCCUUGCCGAGGGAGGUCCUGCUCAGAUUCGUUAAAUUUGGAGAGAUAUUUUGAAAAUUCUCCAGACACUUAUGACCGGCAUUUCGGACAGGUCUCGCGUAACUGUAUAUUAAUAUUACGCCUUUCUCAGACUGCCAGUCACCGAUAAGAAUUUUAACGCUACCUAGCCGAUCCUCGUAGCGGCCCGUGAAUUUAAUUUUCUUUCUUUCAAUCGGAUUUGUUAACCCUGAUUGCCCGACGUGGGCGUAGGUGACGCGGAUAAAGAUAUGGGUUUCGAUCUGGGUAUGGGAAUUUCGUUUCCUUUUACGGCCUGUUCAAGGAAUUCGUUCUUCUCUCUCUUGAAGAAGAUACCACUACACGUUUCUCCGGGCAUUCUGUAAUGCAGACUUUGAUCUCGAUCCGCCGCUUGCCGUACGACGAAAUAAUCUUGGACGCGUCACGGGUCUGACGAGGGAGUCUACGUCAUGGAUAUACGAUAUAUCGUAAAUGGACGCUGAUGGCGUAAUGACAGAGAAGGAACUUGGUAAGCUGUAUGAUGUAAAAAUAAACGAGAAAUGAGA